AUUGAACGCUGGCGGCAUGCUUUACACAUGCAAGUCGAACGGCAACCCUGGUGGCGAGUGGCGAACGGGUGAGUAAUGCAUCGGAACGUGCCCCGUCGGGGGGGAUAACACAUCGAAAGAUGUGCUAAUACCGCAUACGACCUGAGGGUGAAAGCGGGGGACCGCAAGGCCUCGCGCGAUGGGAGCGGCCGAUGUCUGAUUAGCUAGGUGGUGGAGUAAAGGCCUACCAAGGCGACGAUCAGUAGCUGGUCUGAGAGGACGACCAGCCACACUGGGACUGAGACACGGCCCAGACUCCUACGGGAGGCAGCAGUGGGGAAUUUUGGCCAAUGGGGGCAACCCUGAUCCAGCCAUGCCGCGUGCGGGAAGAAGGCCUUCGGGUUGUAAACCGCUUUUGGCAGGAACGAAACGGUGCGGGCGAAUACCCUGUGCUAAUGACGGUACCUGCAGAAUAAGCACCGGCUAACUACGUGCCAGCAGCCGCGGUAACAC
rnacentral:rRNA from 1 species